UUGACUGAGAUGAAGAGUCUGAAACGGUGACAUAAGGAAUUGCCUUCAUUUGGCAGGGUUGCUGUAUCACUCCGCAACUGAUUUGAUGAUAGACAUUGCGGAUUAUGCCUCUCUUCAACAGCAAGAAGGUGCACGCAAGGAAACCUAUCACCUUCGCUACGGCUGCUUUACUGACGCCUGAGGACAUUUUCAAUCCGGAAACCAGCAUCAUCAAAAUGAAACUAACCGAUCAAGAGCUUCACUUCAAAAAUGGAAUCUGGACACCGGAAACCGAAGCCCUAGGAGAGAAAUUUCGAGAAACCGAACAGCUCAGAGAAUAUUGUGAGGCUGUGGAAGAGGAAAAUAAUUUACUCAAAAUGCGCCUUGAAGUUCUAUUAGAUAUGAUUACUGAAACUACAUUGCAAAAGAACUCCAUGACACAAGAACUGAUUGCCCUACGGAGUGAUGUCAAAAAUUCUAUCAAACCAAGGAAGCCAUGAUGGAGCAAGCUUCUUUCACAAAAUUGUAUUUAAUCUUGGGAGUUAUUGUUAAUUAUUCAAGGGUGAAAAACAUAUCGACACAACCUACAGCCUGAAGAAUUUGUGUAUUUUAAAGUUAAAAAAAAGCCGUUCAUCUUAAUUCUUGCCCCUCAUAAUUUUGCAUACAUUCUAUUUGAAUUAUAAGCUGUUGUACAUUUGCCUUUUUUUGGUAAAAAAAAAAACUUCUGACAUAAAUUGCUUAUUGUUAUUUUAAUUUUUAUAUGAGUACUGUGUUCAUUUCAUCUACGAAGAAAUCGGCAAAUGUGCGGUUAGCUUCAGGUCUGGUUUAAAGACUUUCUGAUGUUUCACUUCAUAAAGCAUCAAUCUGUACACCACAACAAGUCUUCCCAUGUUUUGAUCUAACACGUUAAUUUUAAGGUAUUUGCACUCCUGCAUGGUUUCUCUGAACAAUCGAUAAUUCCUAAACGUGUAAUUUCUUAUAUAAAAAUAUAUUUGUCUGUGAUGAAAGGAUUUGAGGUUGACUUACAUGUCACAUCCAGCUUUAUUUUUUCUCUUUUUUUUACUUGUUUAAAAGAACCUUUAUAUCUGCAUUCCAGAGUCUUCAGUGGCAACGACUGUGAAAAAUAUGUUGACUACAUAAGCGUCAAUUUUCAAAUGAUAACUCUUAAAUAUUGCUAACAAUUAUGUUUUAGGCAACUCUUUCCGUGUCAUUUUAAACAAAAUUUCCGAGACGUAAAAUUAAAGUAAAAAAAAGGAGUUAAAUCUCUUUCAAGAUCUUCUUACUGUAGUUUUUAGCUUUAGCAACUACCAAUGUUUUCAUAAAAACAUAUUGAGAAAAAUAUCUGUAAAAAAGUAUUUUU
rnacentral:lncRNA from 1 species